GCGUCCGUGGUUCAAUGGUAGAAUGCUCGCCUGCCACGCGCGUGGUCCGGGUUCGUUUCCCGGCCGACGCA
rfam:Trichobilharzia regenti genome assembly, scaffold: TRE_scaffold0048950